rnacentral:rRNA from 1 species
GAUCAUGGCUCAGGAUGAGCGCUGGCGGCGUGCCUAACACAUGCAAGUCGAGCGAAGUUACUACAGGAAGCCUUCGGGUGGAAUGGAUUAACUUAGCGGCGGACGGGUGAGUAACGCGUGGGCAACCUACCCUGUACAGGGGGAUAACAAUGGGAAACCAUUGCUAAUACCCCAUAACACCUUUGAGGGGCAUCCCUUAAAGGUCAAAGAAUUUCGGUACAGGAUGGGCCCGCGUCUGAUUAGCUAGUUGGUGAGGUAAUGGCUCACCAAGGCGACGAUCAGUAGCCGGCCUGAGAGGGUGAACGGCCACACUGGAACUGAGACACGGUCCAGACUCCUACGGGAGGCAGCAGUGGGGAAUAUUGCACAAUGGGGGGAAAAACCCCCUGAUGCAGCAACGCCGCGUGAGCGAUGAAGGCUUUCGGGUCGUAAAGCUCUGUCCUAAGGGAAGAUAAUGACGGUACCUUAGGAGGAAGCCCCGGCUAACUACGUGCCAGCCGCGGC